UCUUGGGGCGUAAAUGUGCGAUGUAGUUGAAAGGUAAAGAAAUAUAAUACUCGAGUAGCAUACUGUAGCCUGCUAUACUGCGACCCAUGUGUCCGGUAAAUAAAGAAAGGCAAAGAUUUCGUCCUAUACUUUCUUCCUACUGUCGUUUCCUCCCUCAUCUCCCAAAAAUGGGCAUCUUCAGCCAUGCCAAAGAUUGAUCCAAGAAUCUGCCAGGGUGCGACGCCGAGUCGACGCUAGUUCCAAUCCCAUGGGUGGCGCCGACUGCUCUCCCUCUCUCCACUCGCCGUUCCCCCAAACCGAAACCCUUGAUCCAACCACUGUUCAUACAUGGUGUUCCCAGUCCUUCAAUUUCCCAGCGAUAAAUCUGACAAAGCAACCACUAUGGGAUACAUCAGAUGUGCAGUGAGGUGAUGUAGGUGUUGUGUAGAGAUGGGUGGCAGAAUAGUCGUCAAGUAGACUUGAGCUGAAUCGGUUUGUGAAUUUGUAGGAUCAAACCUGUAAUAGAGCAGACCACAUUCAUCGCCAUUUAUGCAUAUAACGUGGGAAUCAGAAGAAGAUCCAACCGCUCCAUGAUUAAUGACACCACACAGAUUGCCAUAGACAGAAUUCAUCUUGGCAUGUUACCAAAAUGAUAAUCAAAUCUAGCCCUUGCUUGGUCGGUUGUACAUUCAGUUAUAUUGUGGUCAUGUCAGAGCUAUGAGACAGAUUAGGGCAUGAGUAGUGAGAUCCAAACUGCGGAUACUUAGUAAACCACUGAAGGUACACAUUCAUUUUUCA